GGCAAACGGCAACUGCAACUUUUUUUUUACUUGGUCUACAUUUGUCCGUUGCAAUAGGCUGUUACAACCACCCACCAUAACUUCUGGCCAAUCCAGGCACUCGAUUGUGCACUAGCGAACACGGCCUUCAUUUGUUCGUGUUUUGAUCCUUUUUAAUUUGCCCUUGAGACUUUGUGUUUUGUUCCGUUCCAUGCAAGAACUACAGAACGGGCAUGGCGUCGUUUAUCUUUUAAAGGCUAUUUUCACGUGGAAUAAUUGUUCCAGAUUUCAAUGAAAUGGCUGCCCAUCUGUCAAGACUACAUAGAAAUAUUCUCAGGUAUGCUGCUCUUCGUAGGGGCUCUUGCAUUUCGUCUUUUAGCUGAACACCUUUGAAUGGUGUUUUGGUGUUUACAAUUUUCCACCAUGUUAGGAUUAUGCCAAUAAACUUUGCGGUACCUUCACAGUGUUGCAGAUUAUGUUUGUUUUCCAGUUCACUAAGAGCUUCAAUAACAAACUCACUGAACACUUGUGUAACAGGUUUGACAUUUUGUCUCUCCAAAUUGGAAGGCCACAAGGCCUUGAGUGACAGCUCAUAGCCAAACUUCGACAACACUUGUCACAUUCCAAUUUGUAGAGUUCUCUCAGAGUUUCAAUAGAAGCUGUAAACAUUUCUGAUGACUCAUCAAAGCUCAGGAAAGUGAUGCAUACACCAUUCUUUUUUUGAUUCAGCCAGUUAUUUCUUAUGCAAUUAAGGAUAUGUACAAGAUCAAUGAUAUAAAACAAUAGUCGUGUUGGGUCACUGGUGUGUGGAUAAACUAUGCUAAGUUUUGGUGGGCAUGAAAACAUUGACAUUGCUUUCCUGUUAAUGCUGUUGUUGUCUGUAAUUACACACACAACCUUCAAAUGAACUGUUUAAAGACCUACGAUCACCUUCCUUAGUACAUUAUGAAGGAUUUCUCCUGUAAGACUGUUCACAGGAAGUAUGUGUACAACAUCCUUAUAUGAUGAAAAAAGACUUUGAACCAUGAUCACGUGGGCACUGGAAGCAGCAUUUUCAGAAUUAAAGCUAGAACCUACUAUGUUUCCACUCAUUGUAAUCUAGAAUCUGCUUAAUAUGGAUUUCAUUUAACAUAAAACAACAUGACGUUCUUGGGGUGUAAGCUGAGAUACCUUAUUUUUCAAAUAGAACAAAAAAUUUCUUCCAACUGCUCUGUUUCUGGACCAGAUUUAAAGGAUUAACAUAAUAUGCGUAUUGUAUUGAGAUGUUGAAGAAUGAUGUUGCCUGAACUUCUAAUGAACUUCUAUGUAUGAGAUGAAAUUAUAGAAACAAGUGAUGCAAAUACAAACAAGUCCAAUUUUCGGCUGCUGGAUCACUCUAACUGGGUAGAUAAAAGGUUAACAAACUUCUGGUGUUCAUAAUCACUGUUAAUAGUGUCAAGUAAUGAUUUCACCACUGCGUAUUUGUUACUUACUUUACACUGACCAUGGUGAAGAUUUUCAACUGUUGUUAGGACAUCUGUGAUUAUGUUUAUGUUGUUCACUUUCAAUGAAAAAUUUAACUGAGAGAUUUUUUUAACUGCACUCCUUGAUAAUAUCAUGUUAAAGUCAUAUCACUUUUGAUGGUAACAGUAUAUAUCAAAACUGGAGCAUCUUUAAAGCUGAUGUGGACUUAUGCGAGUUUAUCUGGACGAUUGACAAGAUACCAAAAACUUAUGUCUUAGCACUUUUUCAUAGUAAAACUAAUUCGUCAUAAGUACUACACACAUGUUUACUUUCAUAAUAAGCAUAGGUUUGUAAACUUUCAGCAGUAGAACGUUAGACUGCUGCUGCUUCUUCCUUGGCGAAUCACGAACUGACUGCAAGUCCGAUGAUAAAUAGGAGGGGCAAUUGGGAAACACUGACGGAACUGCACCAUCUUUCAGUUUUGGUCUUUCCAAAGGUGCUGUCAGAGUUGUCCCAGAUUUCUCAUCAAAGUAUACUGGUUCUCACAGUACUUCAGGACUCUAAAAAUGGACCGCAAACCUACAAAAUAAAUUGUAUCUUUUUAUAUGCGAUGUUUGUGGUAAAUUACCGGUUACAUAUUUUGAGUUAUUAUUUACACGGACGAGUAACACGCUAAGUUUUAUCAGGCCUUCUAGCAUGAUUCCCACCUAAUAUUGCUCUUCCAUUCAUUUUCACAUUUUUUAUUGUUGGUAUCCUUUCCUAUUUAAAUUCUAUUGAAACAAUUUUGUAAGCUGCAUUCCCGUAAGCAGACAUUCUUUUAUUUAUUACUCAACACGAAGAACAUAUGACAUAGAUAUGCAACCUGGUGUAUCAUUAUGUUGGCUGUGCAUAUACAGUCAGUCACACAAGAAUGUGCUGCUUAUAACUUCAAAGUUAAGCGUUUGGGGUAUCGAUGAUUGGUAUUUUCAAACUUAGAGGUCUAAGAGCUCUAAGAGCUCUGAUGCAAACGUCUUAACGCCGUGGCUUUCACUUUGGACCAAUUCGAACGUUGUAACGCUCGGACCAGUCGCAACGUGCAUUCUGUUGCACAUCUGUAUGCACAUCUGUAUGCACAUCUGUAUGCACUUUGCAUGUGCAGCCAGACUAGCCAACAUCUAAUGUAUGCCCUAAGCGCAGCUAGUUACGCGCGCUCGUUAGCUCGUUACCUAUUCUACGGGAUUAUCGCGUGACCUCUUUUGAUCUCAAAUUAAAAACAUCAAAUUGUGGGUGAUUUUUUUAUUGGCAAAAAGAAUAAAGCGUUGCAUUGUUCUUAAGCAUACAUACAUGAUACAUAAGCAUGAAAAUAGAAAAAUUAACCUACAGUUAUCAUAUACCUUUUUUUUUAUUUUUUUUUAAUUACAAACUAAGACAGACUAUUACAAUCUUUGUGGUUGUGCUGUGAGGCUAAAAACUAUAAACUAAGACACACACUUACAAACUAUGAUGUUACGAUGUACCGUUAAAAUUAUAAGCUAAGACACGUUUUGUUACUCUGUUAAUUGUAAAUUUAGAAGCUAGUACAUAUUUUGAUGUGUUCUUACCGUAGAACCUAUAAACUAAGACACACUAUUACAAACUACAAUGCCAUGUUUUAACUCUAGAAACUAUAAGCUAAGACAUACAAACUAUAAAUGACAAACUAAUAAAAUGAGGUAGGUCGUUGUACGAUAAGUAUUUGCGGCGAUAAUGAAUAUUGACUGCUUAGAAACUAUAAGGUGAAGCUGAAACGGUCAAGCAUUUUAACUAAGACAUGAUUAUCUUCUAAAACGUAUACAAUUCCCCGUACAAAGUAAAAAGACAAUGUAUAAGAUAUUAAUCCAGCGAUACAUAACGAAAAUAUUUCAGUAAAAUCAAGAUAAACGAUAGCCUUCAUAGAUGGUGGCGAUUACAUGAAAAAAAAAAAUUGUUAAUGGACAAUUAACAUUUCCAAUAAUCAUUGAGAAUCUUGCUCCUGGGGUUGCCAAUUCUGAUACCCAUGAUGCAGUUGUUCUUCGGGAGAAGUUUCCACCAUCUCCUCCUGUGCACGCGACCUGGUGGGGUCCGUGUACUAAAGACAAAAAAUUAACAUUAACACUAUUGCUCAGAGGUUCCAACUGGGUUUGUCGGAACAGAGAUACUCACGUCCAUCGAAUGAUGGGCGUUCAUGAAUGUCACAUCGGGCCUCGCCUUGACAUUGCUAAUGCUCCACGCCACCAACACCAUCAGGACCCUCAGAGUCUUCAUUUCGCAAGAUACUUCACAACGUCCACGAACUGCAAAUGAAAAAAACGAAAAUGUACUUUUCAGCUGUAAAACAGAACCUCGGUCCCUAGAACAUACAAAAUAAAAAUUGAGAAAAGAAUAAAAAUAUUAAGGAGUACUUACAUGAAAAGUAGAACAGUGGACACUGAGUCACUGGUUCACACUGUUGCUUCAGAGGUACUUGAAACACAGCCGCUAUCGGAUAGCUAGUGCUUUUCAUAGGGUGAUUUGGGACUUUAUAUAGCUUUCCUCCCAAUUACAGGACAACACAAUAUUUACUAAAAUUAAUAUAGAAUGAUGCACUUGAGGGAAAUACUAAUUAGGUAAUAAUCCUUAAAUAAAAUAAAACCACAAAUUGUUAUCAUGGAACAAUAAUAAUCGGUAUGUAUAAUUACGUCAUGCGUUGCGAAAUUGUUAAAACGUUAAAUACCAAUUCUAAUAUUUUUUCCUCGACUCUUGAUGUCAAUUGAGUAUCUUCCACAUCUAUACCUCAUUACUAAAUGACAUAGAAUAGUAAUUGUAUCUGGAUUACGCAGUAAACUCGCACAUGACGUGCUCGUAACUCAUAAGUUGUUUUGACCGUUGAAAUGUUAAUACGUUAAUUUGUUUGUUGAACUUAUUGAGAUACUAGCUCACAGGCAACCUAGAGACCUCGUGCUAUUAUACGGAGCUAUCAAUAAGAGCGCUCUACACGUGACUAUCCGGCGAUGAAUAGAGCUCUCGGUAAAACACAAUAGAAUCAAGUGGGCACUGACUGCGCUAUCGUUGCAGAAAAAAUCAUGCAUUUUUCGCCGGCCUAUCAUCCGUGGCUGUGGCCCGUUGAAGAACAUGCCGCAAUGCACGUAACGACUUGGCGACAUUGUGCAGAAAGGCCAGUUUCACCCUCGCGGCUCAGCCACUCGAGUCAGUCAGGCGAGAUCGUUACUCUCGAACGGUGCAGUUGCAUUAGAAGGUGCAUCAUCGCGGUACAACAGCAUAUCGUUGGCACCGAGUUUUAGUAGGCAGAAAGUGCGCGCUAUCGGGGCGUUGGUAGGGUAAAUUCCAGAAUAUCGCUUAUCCUCAUCCAAGUAUGGUAUAUCGCUAAGGAAAUACGGAUAAGUGUGCUAUUAUGUAUAUUUAAUUAAAUAAUUGUGACGCAAAUUCAAUUAGAAUUUACAAAAAUAUUCCCCAUGAUAUCGCAGCUACCAAUUAAUAUUUUCACAUGUAGGGAUAUACCUAACUUAAAUACGAAAUGCCACAAUAUUUAUCGUUAAUAACAUGUUUUUCAUUUUUCCCAUGGUGCUGUUGUUUUAGGCAUGCCAUUUAAUUUAAUACCUAACAACAAACAAAAUUUACUAAUUAAUAACGUAACUGCAUCUUAACAUUGUGAAAUUGCGGAGCAACCGGUCUACGGUCUUCCCGAACGUACCUACAUGCUACAUCGCCGUAAUCUCGCUGUCCGAGAGGGUAUGACGAACGAUGGUCGCUCGCAAUUCUUAUGCAACAUAUGAUAUUGACAUUUAAGCACAACAUGUUGCGCUUUGCAUCUUGACACUUGCGUCAAGCUUAUAACAUCAUACUUUUCAUCACGUUCGAGCUUCUUGGACUUACACAGACACACACAUACACAGACUCUGGCAUUGCACACAAGGAAACUUGCCUAUUGUUUCUAUCAACGUCAUGUAACGUUAAGAUAACUUAAUGUGAAGUGGCAAAGGUCUUGGAGCAGGUAUGAGGGAUGGCCAAGCAUCAUACAUAGGUUUUUAUUGAGAAGCUCACCAGCCUGCUAGGAUCGCAAUGUUAUGUUACGACGAGUUUAAGUUUUGCAAUAUGAUGUCCAUGGAAACUUAUGUGCAACAGUUAUCAGACCUGUGUGCAACGUCUGGACAUCUUUUACAGCAUUUUGUGUCAGGAAUGCAUUAGGGAACGUGUCACGACACCGCCAGACUUGUCUAUAGCGAGAAAAAUUUGAGUGCAUUAUUCCUCCGAUGCAUCCUAGUGCAUCAGGUGUUUGUUAGGAUUGUGAAAUUUGAAGUUGCACAUCGAUGUGGAUUCAGGAGAUAGAGGCCCUACAUUGCUGUGUUCCCGACUGUAGAAGUAAUUACAUCAUAUGCAGUGGAUAGUUUUUCAUAACAUGUCAAUUAAAAAUUAGUAGUACAUUAUCUGUGAUUGAUUGAUUUGUCAAAGUUACUAGGUUAAUUGUAAUAACUGUAGUGUAGCUUAGAAGUGAAACAAUUUCCCCAAUUAUAUCUGUGCAACAGUUGUAGUAGAGUACAAAGCAGUGUUGCCAAGUGUAAAACAAUUGCUUUAAUGUGGUAUUGUUGAGGGAAAACUCUAGUGAAGUGCUUCAUUGUACUACAUGCGAAUGUAUUACAUGCAGAACUCUUUAAAAAACAGCCACACACACACUACUAAAAUUGUUGGGUGUAUACAAUUUAUGCUGAAUUUGAAAUAAGAAAAGCUAUAUGUCUAUGACUUUUUAUUCAGAAUAUUUGCGCAGUUCCGUUCUAUAUUCAUAAAAAAUAACAUUUUGUAAACAAAAUUUUAUUAAGCACGACUAUUAUGAUAAUUGCUAACAAAAGUUAACUACAUUCACUUAAAUCAGCAGAGAAUAUUAUUAUUAUAUACACACUGCAGUAGAUGUAUUGGUAUACUCUAUACAAAGUUGUAUUUAUAAACAUUUUAAAAGUCUUUUAUAUAAAUGACAAAAUAGUUUUCUUGACACACACACACACAGGAGAAAAAUUUUAGUGCUGUAUUUCUUGACAAAAGCAACAUCGGUAAACAAUAUACCGAUACAAAUAAUAUACAUGUAAGAAGGGAAUUGAGAACAAACAAAUUAAAAGUAACUUCAAUGCUUCUCAUUGCACAUGUUUAAUUGAUAUGCUGGGUGUGUAGUAUACUUUUGACAGCUCCUACAAUUAGAACGAUUUCAUGGAGUGUAGUUUAACUUGACAUGAAUUAUAACUCAGGUGUAUAAAAUAGCAAAUUAUGUAGCUUAUAUUAAGAUACAGUGAUGAAUUUGGCAUGACGAAAUGUAUUUGUGCAGCCUGUUUCUGCUGUCUUUUUAUAUAAAAUGUCUAUGCUAAUAUCCAACUCAGAAAAAUUUUAUGCAUAUGGGCAAUAGUAUUGUUAUCAAUAGAGAGCUUUUUCAUUAGAACAAAAACAUAACCACUUUAUAAACACCUACGAAUUCAGUGUUAAUGCUUGGUACUUUUAGGCCGUGAUCGAAAUGGUUAAUUUUUAUGUAGAAAUUUUAUUAAGUGUAAUUAAACUCGGCCGUUGUCAGUAAACAUUUCCAUACAUCUACAAAUAUACAAAAGAACAAAGUUUAUAAAUGUUUCAAAAUAGACUUAUUACAACAAAUGUCAAAAAAUUAUCUUUUUCUAAUUAUGAGUAGUAUAUAAGCUAAUUGCAAUAUUUACCAAUUAUUUUUAAUAUUUCUUGCGACCAUUACAAGCAAUUAUUUGUUUUUAAACAUAUUACAAUAUCUUCGCGUGUUUCUGAAAGUUAUAAAUUACACAGCGUGAGUUUUGAGAUGACUUAAAUUUAUUUACAUCUCUAGACACAAAAUAUGUAAUAAUAAACCCUAAAAUGUGUUUCCAAAUUAUUUUAUUGAAAAUUGGGCACAUUACAUUUUAUACAAAAUAUGCAGUUUUGGACAUGGCGUAAUAUUAUUUAUUAUUACUUAUUAAGUGCGUUUUAAAGAAUAAUCUUACUAUGCGGAUGAUUAUGGUACAAAACCAUGCUUAUUGCUGUAUACUAUUUUGAUGUAAUUUCAUUUGUCUAAACAUGUUGUAUGUUUUAAAAAAUUUUAAACCAGAGUGAUUAAAACACGGAUUAACAAAUGGCAAAAUCCCUAACUGAAUAUUAGCACUAUAGGCAAAUAAAUACUGGAAAGAGUUAAUGCACAACUUACCCUGGAAUAUUUUGUGGGUAUAAAGUGUUCCUGUGGAAAUGUUUUUAACCACGCAUUUUUACUAUUUUCACUGUUGGGAAAUGUGAAGAUGUGAAACUUUCGGACCACCUUCAUAAUCUCCACGACAUUGUGGAACAGAACACUUGUAUACCAUGACACAUUAAUUAUGCUCACUCGCGACAGAUGUAUUUAAAAGUAACGUACAACGCGCCGUGGAAAUACUCCUGCUACGGUCAAGGCAAGGAGCAUACAAGGAUAAAGAGCGGUAACUAAAUGUUAUUUUAUUGUCCUUGCAGCAACAUCGAAAAUGUGCUGCCAUCAGUGAACCAUCAUCUGAAGUUUUUGUAACAUUCGCCAUCUUGGGCACAUUAUAGCGGCUACUUUUGUAGCUACGUCGAGCAACCGCGCACUUGGCAGGCUUUUCAAAUACUUGAACUUAAAGAAAAAAUUAAAAAAAAAAAAAAAUAUUGUUAAAUUGUCAAAUUUCUAAUAAAUUUUGAAGCUAAAUCUAAAAAACGUUUCUUGCUAUACCUAAAACGUACCUCUUACACAAAGGCAGAAAUCCAAUAAUGAAAUUUUAAAAUGCUUUACAACCUAACUUUGUGUGUUUGUUUUGUUAGAAAAAUAAGCCUUCAGAUCAAUUAUCUAUACCCCUUCCCAUUUUACAAUAUAAUUAAUAGAAAGAGUGCUGGCAUUAACAUAGCAUAUAAUUAAAAAUUUUCAGGUGUUAUUCCCUACAAAAUUAGUUUAUAGCAAUAUGCAAAACUAUUCCCUUAGCUGUGAAGCAUUCGCCACUAUUCAUUAUAUUUGCAUUGUAUGGGACUCCAUGAUAAUUAUUUUCCUGUAUUUUAAAAUCUACUAUGAAAACACUUAGUACAUAGGAAAACAGUUACCUUGACAGAUUGUAAAAAAAUGUUGGUAAGUCCAAUGGGUUACAAUAGUAUUCAGAAAUAAAUUUUUACUAAUACAGUACACUCCCGAUUAUCCACAAAAUUAAGUUGUAGGGCCAUCAUGGAUAGUGAAAAUCGCGGAUAAUCUGAAAAACAGCAAAAAAUGAGAAACAAAAAAGGAAACAUUAAUUUCAACUUAAAAAUCUAAAUAUUUUUGUACAGUAAAAGUUAUAAUACAUUUCAGUAAUGUAAACAUAAAAGUGCUUGGUACUUGCUGCGUGAGUUUCGAGAAGGCAUGUGGCGUUUUACUGUAUACUGCACACAAUACACUUGUCAGUAGAGUUCAAAUUUACUCACUUGUAAUAAAAUACAGAUUUACAUAUGUGCUGUAUUUUUUGUAACAUGUGCGGAUAAUAGGGAGUUUAUUGUAACAUGUGCGGAUAAUAGGGAGUUUAUUGUAACAUGUGCGGAUAAUAGGGAGUUUAUUGUAACAUGUGCGGAUAAUAGGGAGUUUAUUGUAACAUGUGCGGAUAAUAGGGAGUUUAUUGUAACAUGUGCGGAUAAUAGGGAGUUUAUUGUACAUUUAAUUUUUUUUCUUGAUUUUCACCAUUCCAGAAAAUUUGCACCUUAUGGAGAUGUAGGUGGUACUAAACAACAAAUAGUAUGUUGCAUCAUUCUGAAUUGAAUACAGUGUAAUGCUAAUGCAAUGUUCCUAUUUAUAACAUUUUCCUGGUAACGAAGUUGGUUUACCACAUGUCAAGAUAAUAUCCUUAUUCUUGGUGACUUUAAUGUGCCUGGUGUUGACUGGUCCAACUUACAUUCAAAAAAUGUAAAUCCUAUUGGUAUGACAUCCAAAGCUAAAGCUGUGUUCCACUUUAUCUCAGGUUUGGGUUUGUCCCAAUGUAACGUCACUCAGCCUCCUAUCUACCUUUUGGACCUAUGUUUUUCUAAUUUACAGCAUUGUGUGGUUAGUAAAGCCUUAGAGUCAUUAAUUAAAUAAGACACAUUCCAUUCGGCUCUUAUUGUUAAUAUUGAAAUAAUUCUAACAAUCAGAAAAGAAAAUACAUCUUCAACCUUUAUAAAAUAUUAAAAAGGAGACUACUUAAGUUUGUAUAAUGCUAUUAAAAAUCAUGAUUGGUCUAUAUUAUAUAACACUACUGACGUGAAUAUUAUGGUAGACAUUCUAACUACUACAGUUAAUCAAUAUAUUAUGAGUUACAUUCCUGUCACUGUGAAAACUACUUAUAGUUACCCGCAUUGGUACUCAAAGCAACUUAUACGAACACUAAAACAUAAUAAACAUUUUCAUAAAUUAUACAAAAGAAACAUGAAUCCUUAUUACUAUGCUCUAUUUUCACAGAAACGUAAAGAGGCUAAAUAUCUCAUUUCAAGAGACAAAAAUUUUGGCGUUACAUAAAAAUCAUGAAAGAAGGAUACAAUCAGCUAUGCUCUCUCAAGGUCAAUGAUACUGUUACUAAUGACACAUUUGCGAACUAUUUUUCUAGCGUAUAUGUAACUCCAGCCAAUAACAGCACUCCUUUGAUAUCUGAUAAUACUGCUUGCUCCAUUCCUAUGUCCACUAUUACUGAGAGUAUUUUACCUUGGGGGAUCAAAUACUUGAAAUCUACUAUGUCAACAGGUCCAGAUAGUAUUACUAAUUUCAUAAUAAAAGGAUGCUCUCUGGUUCUUGUUCCUAUCCUUCAGUUUAUAUUCAAUAGCAGUAUUAAAAACAGCAUCUACCCUAAUAUAUGGUAAACUGCCAAGGUCAUUCCUAUACAUAUAAAAGGUAGUAAAUUUAAUGUCACAAAUUAUAGGCCUAUUUCUCUUUUAAAUGGAUUUGCUAAAGUUUUUGAUAAAAUAAUAUUUAAGCACCUUGAUUUUAAUCUCAAAAAUAAACUAUCUGACUGUCAGCAUGGUUUCAGAAUUGGCAUAUGUACUACUACCAAUCUGAUAACUUUCAUAAAUCCAAUUUAUUCUGAAGUGAUAACCCGAGGCCAAGUGGAUGCAUGCUAUUUUGAUUUAGCAAAGGCUUUUGACACAGUAAACCAUCAGAUAUUACUCAGCAAAUUAUCCACUAUGGGAUUGAGCGACAAAUAUAUCAAAUGGUUUGGCAGCUAUCUGAAAGAUAGGAAAUAAUUUGUUUCUAUUAAUAAAACUAAAUCUGAUUUACAUAUGGCAAACUCUGGAGUACCUCAAGGUGGUACCCUUUCUCCCCUUCUUUUCAACAUUUUUAUUGAUGAUAUAACCAAAGCACUAAAUUAUUCUGUUGGUCUGCUAUUUGCAGAUGACCUAAAAAUAUAUAGAAAAAUUACUUCAUUAAAUGACUGUCACUUACUUCAACACGACAUUUCGUCUGUUGUUGCAUGGUGUAAGACUAAUCUUGUUAAACUUUAACUACAGUAAAACCACCACAAUAACCUUCUCAAGAAAAUAUCAUCCUAUUGUAUUUGAAUAUAAACUAGACAAUCGUACUAUUGCAAAAUCAAACUGUAUUUUGCUAGAUUCAAAAUUAUUCUUUCACAAUCAUAUUGAAACACUUAGAUCAAAUGCUAAUAAAAUGUUAGCAUUGAUUAAAUAUAUCACAUUAAAUGCAUCUAAUUUAGAUUCAACACUUAGUCUUUAUAUAUCCUUGGUGAGAUCUAAAUUUGAAUAUGGUUCUUUGAUUUGGAAUAACAUUAAUAAAUCAGAUAGUGACAAAUUGGAUAAAAUACAAUUCAAACUGAUCAAAAUUAUAAACCUAAAAAGUAACAUUAAUCUAAAUGUAUAUUUACACUCCCUUCUUGGUUCCUUACAAUUAAGAAGAGAAAUAUUAGAUGCAUUAUUUGUACACAUUUGUUACAAAAAUACAAUUAAUUGUAACUAUUUUCUUCACAAUACCUACUUUCAAUCGUCGUAGUCAAUCUUUAAUUUGUACGUUAAGUAAAACAAAUGAUCUAUUAAACGGAAUAACUAAAUAUUACAAUAAAUAUGCAAGGUUAUUUCCUGAAUUAGAUAGCAAAAUAAAAUUAAAAAAAAUUCAACUAUUCCUAACUUAAUUAUUUUUUCUUGUGGUUAAUAAUCAUAUUGUUUCAAGUUAGUUUUUUUUUUUGUGUUAUUCUUAUUUCCUACAUUAUAAAAUUUGCAAAGAAAUUAUUUACUAAUUGUUAAAUGUUGCAUGUUGUGUGUAUCGCUUUGUUUUGUUGUCUUGUAUUUUGUAAUUUUUUGUUCUGUCUGUAUGUAUCUGUGUUGUUUGUAUCAUGCCUACCACCCAAGGCCAUACGCUGUAGGUAGGCAUGCAACAAAUAUUAAAUAAAAAAAAAAAACAA